UGGCCUAUCGAUCCUUUAGACC
rnacentral:siRNA from 1 species